CGCCCCCAGGCUGGAAUUGAACCAGAUCCUUGGCGUACUGGUCAAAUGUGCUAUCAAUUACACUUCUCGGGGC